GCGAUUAUUUCCUGACUGUCCUUCAUGUUAUAUUCAAUUAGAAUUAUAUCUAGAAACAUUGCAGUGAGCACAAGGAUAAGACUUUCUCGAACACCUUAGAGAUGGAAAGUAAGAGCAGGAAUCAAUUAGUAACACGGAUGCCAAAUGUCAAUUAUUGUGCUUAACUGAGUUAGCUGGACGAGCAUGAGCUACGGAAGAAUGCUCUCUAAUCACGUGUGAACAAAUCACAAAGGGAUAAUAUACAAGGCAAUCAACGGCAAAAUUACCCAAAAAGUUUGAUCGAGGAAUCUUUUCUGGAACAAGGGAUGCGACGAAGAAAAGUAUCCAUUCCAAGUGAAACAAUUUGUAACAUCUGCACUAUUUCGCCUUUGUAAGCAACAGUCAUCAUGGAUUCAGAAGGGGAUGAUCAUAGCUGGCCAACCUCGACUUGCUUGUGGAAAUGACCUCUAGUGGAAUGCAUGUUAAGCACCAAAAUCAGCAAAAAGCAGGUCCCUAGUACCAAGAAAGAAAUGUGAAUGGCAGGUUAGGCAUGAUGUCCAAUGCCAGGAAACCAAAACCACACUGAUUGCACUGCCCAGUUGGCAGGUGAGCAGUAACAGAAAGGGUAGAUAGGAACACCGAUAUUGAGCUGAGGUACGUCCACCACUCCCCGUGGUAGUGAGUUUCACAUUUUUAGCACUCUUACGGUAAAGAAGUUCCUUCAGAAUUUCCUAUUAGAUUCCUUGGUGACUAUCUUACAUUGAUGGCCUUUAGUUAAGCCGUUUCCCACAAGAGGCAACAUUGAAGCAGCACUUCCCAAAUUAUUUUUCAAUAUAACCAUUUUAACACUAAAAUUAGCAU